CCUACGGGUGGCAGCAGUCGGGAAUAUUGCACAAUGGAGGAAACUCUGAUGCAGUGACGCCGCGUGCAGGAAGAAGGUUUUCUGAUUUUAAACUUCUUUUUACAGGGAAGUAACAUGACAGUACCUUUACUAUUAGCUCCGGCUAACUACGUGCCAGCAGCCGCGGUAAUACGUAUGGAGCAAGCGUUAUCCGGAUUUAUUGGGUGUAAAGGGUGCGUAUACGGUUAUAUAAGUUAGUUGUGAAAUCCCUCGGCUCAACUGAGGAACUGCAACGAAAACUGUAAAUCUUGAGUGCGGUAGAGGAAAGCGGAAUUCCUAGUGUAGCGGUGAAAUGCGUAGAUAUUAGGAGGAACACCAGUGGCGAAGGCGACUUUCUGGAGCGUAACUGACGUUGAGGCACGAAAGUGUGGGGAGCAAACAGGAUUAGAUACCCCGGUAGUC
rnacentral:rRNA from 1 species